AGCCUGUAUAUCGGUAGCGUGGUGUCAAAUAUAAUCGGGGCGGCUAAGCCAGAGGUAAUUGAAUGAGUAAAAAUUGAUGUAUAUACUUUUUAAAUUCUGUUAUAUUAAUCUGAUAAUGCGGUAAAAUAUAAUAAGUCCUUAAGCUGAGGUUCAUUUCGGUGUAAACAUAAAAAUACGAAUAUUAGAAACGAUCGGGCAAAACGUAUAGAAGAAAUCAAAAUAAACAUUAUGCCACAACUGUUUCCAACUUAGAAAUAGGAUUACCAUAUGACUUGGCGUGUGAUGUGUCUAAAUUUCGAAUUGCGAUGAAUGCGAACAACAGUAGACAGAUAGUAUCACCGAAAAAACUGUUCAUAAUCGACCGAGCAACAACAAUUGCUCGGAGACACGCAAAAACUCAUUUACGUAAUAUGAGUUCGUUGAUUCCCACGAGUUAUUCCGAGAUAUAUUCAAAAGUGGAAAGACCGAGAGAACUACGCUAUUCGCGUGGCAAAUUCAAUUGUUCCACCAUCAGCUUGAUUGUCGAAUAGCAAGUCGUAUAAAAGAUUUGGCUACGUGCGGCAUUAAUACAAACUAUGCUUCCCUCGUGGGUCGUUACGACUGCAAAAUACACCAAAUGCACCCAGACAGCAGUCAGACAGUCCUAUCAGCGGAAUAUCCGUUUAGGCUAACCGGAUCACUGAGGCAACACCGACUCCGUGACGUCACCCACCGCACCCUUUCGACGACCACACAAGCCGUCCACGGAAAGGUAAUUUCAUUAGAAUAAUAAGAUUUUGAAACCAGGCUUACUGACCUGUCAUGGAAACAAUAGCCAUUUGUUAUUAGUAACUCGCCGUGGAAAAUUUACCUUUAGGUAUGAUGCGUUGGCAUAAAACAAUUUGUAGACAACAGUUAUGGUUACAUAUCGUCUUUCUAAAUUACUUUCUAAACUUCGAUUAUAAGCAUCUUUCGGUUUAAGUGUUUUUAUGUGUAACAUGAGUUUGAAAUCAAUGUUUCAGAUAUCAAUCAGAUCGUGUCACAGCAAAACUUUCUUGGUGUUCCAAAUCCUGACUAAAGAAUUCCUUACAGAAUAUACCCUUUGAGGUAAAUCGUGAAAUUUUUAUGUGUGGUGGCGGUCGGUUACGUGGGCUACCUUAUACCUAAAACUUUUUUUCUUCUUCUUCUAUUAAUCUUUAUGCUAUUUUAUAAUCAUAUCCCAUUCAUCGCAUUAUCUAAAGUGCCUACUGCAAAAAUGAAGUAAGUAGUUUUUUAAAACAUAAUAUAUUCAUGCAUUCACCACUAGAUGACUGCAUCAGUGUAUAGCAUUGGUGAGGCGUCUAUAGAACUCGAUCACAAUCGAAAUAUCAAUUUUGAGAAAAUUUAACAACAAAUCCUAAGAAAAGUAUGCCGAAUUAGUUUGACAUUCCGCCACUGAUUGAGUGGCCCAAUAAUUUGUACUAAAGCCGGUAAUCGAACUACUAAUACAAGUAACUACUUAUAUAUUUCAAAAUAAAUAUUAAACAUUAGCUUUAACGUAAACACGGAAUACGUACAUGUAGUUGUAAUGAAUAUUCUAUGAGUAUCUGCUAUUUUUAUCGAUAGUCGACGUUUUCAGGUAACAUACUGAUAAUAAAAUGACUGUUUUCUUGUAAACGUCGGUCACAAACAAGGUUUUCCAGGUGUUUUGGUAGGGCAAAGAAAUACAAAUUCAAAUUGGUUUUAUAUUUUCUACACCCACUCACCCAACUGUGACACACGCAUGGAAUGUCAACAUUGGUUAGUUAAUUGCAUUUUAAUGAAGCUUUUAGUUUAUUCAAUUAGUGGGUGCAAUUAUAUUGGUAGUUUUAUAUUUCAAUUAAAUAUGGUGCUGUCAACAUUGAUUUCAUAACAAUAAAA